GCUUAUUGGUCCAACCUUCCCCGCCGCUCCCGCCCCGCUGAGCGCACCGGGCUGCCAUUGGCUGUGAGAGCUGUCAGUCGGGGAGUGGGCGGGGCCGGGCGGUGCGGCCGGAUGCUGCUGCGGGGGCUGGCGGGGGCGCGCCGGGGGCCCCCAAAGAGCCCCAGGGGGACCCCACGCCCCCACCCCGCCACCUCCUGCAGCGCCCGGGAGCGUUCGGACACCAAGACAGAGGCCGGGGCCACCUCGGACACCCCGGGAGGGGACAGCAGGACAGCCACCCCUGAUGGCGACGGGGGGGAGCCUCUGCAGCCCCCCCGCUGCCCCCGCCGCCCACCCACUGCUGCGGCACCGGCUGCCCCAACUGCGUCUGGCUGGGGUACGUGGAGGAGCUGCUGGAGCGGCACCGGGACGGCGGAGCCCGGGCCCUGGCGGCCGUGGAGCAGCACGUGGAGGACGAGAACAUCAAAAUGAUCCUCAGGAUGGAGAUCAGGCUGCGUGCCAGGAAGGACUGAGCCUCCCCCGGGCUCCCCACGCCGGUGGGGGGGCAGGAUCCGGGCCUGGGUGGUUUGAGCGUGGCGUCCCGGGGGUGUCACGCGAGGUCGGGUCACCUCCUGUCCCAGAGGGAGCUGUCCUUGGGGACAGGCGGUGACUCAGGGCUGUCCUGAGCCCCGGAUUUCCCAGGAGCUGGAUUUCCCCAGCAUGGCAAAUCCCUGCCAAGGGCAGGCUGGGCAGCCCCCCAGCCCUCCUCCUCCUCCUCCUCCUCCUCCUCCUGGGCUCCCAGCUGGAAUUUAAGCACCUUGGGGGGAUUUUCAGCACCUUGGCCAUGCCCUGGUGGUGGGGAGGGCCGGGGGGCUGGGCCAGACCCCUCCCCACAGGCACCACAAAGCCUCUUAGGGGCCUCUCCGUGGGGGCUCGGGGGGGCAGCGUGUGGCACCGAGCACGUGGGCAGCUGCAGCCUCCUGUCAAGGACACUGUCCCCGGUGUCACAUCCUCCCGGGCUGCUCAGCAAGGUGCCUUUCCUGCCUCCAUCUUAAAUCCCCGGAAACUUGUCCCAAAUCUCCCCCUCCAUCCUGGGGGACUCGCAGCUGUUGAGACCCACCCAGACCCCCCCCAAGUCAUCCCAGGACAAAGUCCCCAAGAGGCCACCCAGCCCUGGAGUGUCACUCACUAAGGAACCCCAAUUCACAGCCGGGCUCUGCUCUCUGCCAGGGAAGUAGGUGCUUCUCCAUGGAAAACACUCCUGGAUCCCUUUAAUCCUAUUUGUUGGAGCCCAGUUGCAAUUAGAGGCGGGGGUUGAAGUUCAAUUAAAGUGUGCCGAGAUUAGUCUGUUUUUAAUUGCUUUAGUGCUGGAUUAGGGAAGCUUUGGAGCAACACCAGCCACGGGCAGGGGCUGCUGGACCCUCUCUGGGACCAGGACCCCCACCCAGGCUGGGCUGGAGACUGGAACGGGGGUCCCAUCGCUCCCUGUGGCAUCAGGGGACACUGGGGGAUCUCUUUGGGAAUGGGGAGGCAGGAUUCCCCCACGUGGGAUCCACUGCCCACCGGCACGGGCAGGGCUAAUCCUGACACCUCCUCCCCCGCCCCGAGCAGGGGAAGGACACCGGAUUACCCCUGGGGAAAGCAGGGAGGUGAAUAAUCCUAUUACCCCCGGGCAGGAUAAAUCUCCCUCCCCGAAAAGCCCCCCAGAGCAUCUCCAGGCCGGAGGGAGCCGGGCUGGGCGGAGGGAGCAGCUCUGGGACCGGGGAUCGCGGCACUCUCGGGUGUGAGGAGCUGUCCUGCGCCAGCGCUGAGCCCCGGGGAGCGCCGUGAGCUCCAGGGAACACCGUGAGCUCCGGGGAACGCCGUGAGUUCCAGGGAGCCCUGGGGAGCACCGUGAGCUCCAGGGAACACCGUGAGCUCCAGGGAACGCCGUGAGUUCCAGGGAGCCCUGGGGAGCACCGUGAGCUCCAGGGAACGCCGUGAGCUCCAGGGAGCCCUGGGGAGCGCCGUGAGCUCCAGGGAGCACCGUGAGCUCUG